rnacentral:misc_RNA from 1 species
GAUGAAGAACGUAGCGAAAUGCGAUAAGUAGUGUGAAUUGCAAAUUCAGUGAAUCAUCGAGUCUUUGAACGCACAUUGCGCCCCCUGGUAUUCCGGGGGGCAUGCCUGUCCGAGCGUCAUUGCUGCCCUCAAGCACGGCUUGUGUGUUGGGCCCCGUCCUCCGAUCCCGGGGGACGGGCCCGAAAGGCAGCGGCGGCACCGCGUCCGGUCCUCGAGCGUAUGGGGCUUUGUCACCCGCUCUGUAGGCCCGGCCGGCGCUUGCCGAUCAACCCAAAUUUUUUAUCCAGGUUGACCUCGGAUCAGGUAGGGAUACCCGCUGAACUUAAGCAUAUCAAUAAGCGGAGGA